UAUAAAUAAAAAAGAGAAAAUAAAAGACCUUAUCCUCUCUCUCUCUUCUCCUCUGUUUUCUCUGCUUCUCUCUCUAAUUCUCUUUUCAAGCUCUCCUCAAUGGCGUCUCAGAUCUAAGCCUUUUUCUUAUUGUUUAUUAUUCGAAUACCUUGGUGUGUUUUUGAGGAACCUUCGACUGCUUUCCAAAGCUGCGGCAUUUUUUUAGCCACCUCAAGGGAAGGGAACAAACCGAAAUUAGGGCAACAAUUUUGUGACUUUGUGAUAUGCUGAGAAUGGCGAGUACGUUUCCAGAGGAUGUGUUGGAGCAUGUGUUUUCUUUUAUACAGUGUCAUCAAGACAGGAACUCCAUUUCUAUGGUCUGUAAGUCUUGGUAUGAGAUUGAGAGAUGGUGUAGGAAGAGGGUUUUUGUUGGGAACUGCUAUGCCGUCAGUCCUCAAAUUGUUAUCAGGCGGUUUCCGGAUGUGAGAUCUGUCGAGUUGAAAGGGAAGCCCCACUUUGCGGAUUUUAGUUUGGUGCCUGAUGGUUGGGGUGGCUAUGUUUAUCCAUGGAUCCUCGCUAUGGCUUCUGCCUAUCCUUUGUUGGAAGAGAUCAGGUUGAAGAGAAUGGUGGUUACGGAUGAGAGUUUGGAGCUCAUUUCCAAGUCUUUUAAGAAUUUUAAGGUUCUUGUCUUGAUGACUUGUGAAGGCUUCAGUACUGAUGGGCUUGCCGCCAUUGCUGCUAAUUGCAGGCAUUUGAAAGUAUUGGACUUGCGAGAGAGUGAUGUGGAAGAUCUGAAUGGGCAUUGGCUCAGCCAUUUUCCUGAUACAUAUACGUCAUUGGUAUCUCUCAAUAUUGCUUGUUUGGUCUCUGAGGUGAGUGUUUCUGCACUGGAGCGUCUAGUGGACAGGUGUCCAAACUUACGGACACUGCGUCUCAAUCGUCCAGUUCCCCUUGAUAGGCAUGCCAACCUACUUCGUCGUGCACCUCAGCUGGUUGAGUUUGGUGCUGGAUGCUAUACUGCUGAUUUGAGAUCUGAAGUUUUUUCGAGCUUAACUGGGGCAUUUACGAGCUGCACCGAAUUGAAGAGUCUGUCAGGAUUUUGGGAUGUUGUCCCUGCAUACCUUCCUUCCGUUUAUCCAACAUGCUCUCAGCUAACGUCCUUAAACUUAAGCUAUGCUACAAUUCAAUGUGACGAUCUUACAAAGCUUGUCAGUCAAUGUCAUAAUUUGCAGAAGCUUUGGGUGCUGGAUUUCAUUGAGGAUUCUGGCCUUGAAGCUGUUGCAGUUACCUGCAAAGAUCUUCGAGAAUUAAGAGUGUUUCCAUCCGAACCAUAUGGGCUGGAACCAAAUGUGUCUUUGACAGAACAGGGCCUUGUCUCUGUAUCUGAAGGUUGCCCAAAGCUCCAAUCUGUUCUGUACUUUUGUCGUCAAAUGACGAAUGCUGCCUUAGUGACCAUUGCCAGGAAUCGUCCAAACAUGACCAGAUUUCGUCUAUGUAUUCUGGAGCCAUGGACUCCUGAUUACGUUACGGGUCAGGCACUUGAUGUAGGUUUUGGUGCCAUUGUUGAGUAUUGCAAAGAUCUCCAGCGCUUUUCCCUUUCUGGCCUUCUUACAGAUAGAUGUUUCGAAUAUAUUGGAACUUAUGGUAAGAAGCUAGAGAUGUUAUCUGUGGCAUUUGCAGGCGAGAGUGAUUUAGGUCUUCAUCAUGUGUUGUCUGGAUGUGAUAGUCUUCGCAAGCUGGAGAUCAGGGACUGUCCUUUUGGUGAUAAAGCUCUUUUAGCCAAUGCUGCAAAGCUCGAGACAAUGCGAUCCCUUUGGAUGUCCUCUUGCUCAGUGAGUUUUGGAGCAUGCAAAUUGUUAGCUCAGAAGUUUCCCCAACUCAAUGUCGAAGUUAUAGAUGAGAGGGAUCCUCCAAAUACCAGGCCCGAAAGUUGUCCUGUGGAGAGGCUUUAUAUAUACCGAAGUGUCGCUGGGCGUCGGUUAGAUAUGCCUGGUUUUGUGUGGACAAUGGAUGGAGAUGCUCCUCUAAGGCUUACUUGAUUCAACUCUCCACCAAACCGAGGAUCGAAACCUAGUAAGUGAAGGCUCACAUAAUGGGAAUGGAGCUGGUAGUAGAGGCAGAGGGAAACUCCAUUGCCAUUCAUUUUAUACUUUGGCUGUGAGCUGUGGGGGGAUGGAUAAACAAGCAUUUAGUGAUCAAUAAAAAAGAUAGCAAAGUUUCUUCUUCCUUUUUUUUUUUUUCAUCAUUGUAUUGUAGUACCCAAACAGAUUUAUGGUGAAUUUGCAAAUCACCCUGUAUACUAUGGGCAGAAUAUUUUGCUUGCAUGUUAAUUAUUAUUAGACAUUCAUUUCAGAUUUCAUCUGAACUUAGUUCUUGUCCUCUAAAUCCAUUCCUGGUUUCUCA